rnacentral:rRNA from 1 species
GAUCCUGGCUCAGGACGAACGCUGGCGGCACGCCUAACACAUGCAAGUCGAGCGGAGAAUUGAACUUCGGUUUAAUUCUUAGCGGCGGACGGGUGAGUAACACGUGAGCAACCUGCCUUUAAGAGAGGGAUAGCUUCUGGAAACGGAUGGUAAUACCUCAUAAAAUAUGUUUAUCGCAUGGUAGACAUAUCAAAGAUUUAUCGCUUAGAGAUGGGCUCGCGUCUGAUUAGAUAGUUGGG